rnacentral:rRNA from 1 species
UACGUAGGGCGCAAGCGUUUAUCCGGAAUUAUUGGGCGUAAAGAGCUCGUAGGCGGUUUGUCGCGUCUGCCGUGAAAAGCCGGGGCUCAACUCCGGAUCUGCGGUGGGUACGGGGCAGACUAGAGUGAUGUAGGGGAGACUGGAAUUCCUGGUGUAGCGGUGAAAUGCGCAGAUAUCAGGAGGAACACCGAUGGCGAAGGCAGGUCUCUGGGCAUUAACUGACGCUGAGGAGCGAAAGCAUGGGGAGCGAACAGG